rnacentral:miRNA from 10 species
CCUGCACAUAGUAGGUGCUCAGUAAAUGUUUGUUGAAUGAAUGAAUGAUUAAGUGCAUGUAAAGCAUUAAGCAUAGCGCCUGGCAGUAAGUGCUC